UACGUAGGGGGCAAGCGUUGUCCGGAAUCAUUGGGCGUAAAGCGUGUGUAGGCGGCUGAGCAAGUCUGCUCUGAAAGCCCGGGGCUCAACCCCGGGAGGCGGGUGGAUACUGCUCAGCUCGAGUCCGGAAGAGGAGUGUGGAAUUCCUGGUGUAGCGGUGAAAUGCGCAGAUAUCAGGAGGAACACCAAUGGCGAAGGCAGCACUCUGGGACGGUACUGACGCUGAGACGCGAAAGCGUGGGGAGCAAACAGG
rnacentral:rRNA from 1 species